UACAGAGGGGGCAAGCGUUGCUCGGAAUCACUGGGCGUAAAGGGCGCGUAGGCGGGAUGGCAAGUCGGUCGUGAAAUCUCUCGGCUCAACCGAGAAACGUCGGCCGAUACUGCCGUUCUUGAGGGAUGCAGAGGAGACUGGAAUUCCCGGUGUAGCGGUGAAAUGUGUAGAGAUCGGGGAGGAACACCGGUGGCGAAGGCGGGUCUCUGGGCAUUUCCUGACGCUGAGGCGCGAAAGCGUGGGG
rnacentral:rRNA from 1 species